rnacentral:rRNA from 1 species
UACGGGGGGGGCAAGCGUUGUUCGGAAUUACUGGGCGUAAAGGGCUCGUAGGCGGCCAACUAAGUCGGAUGUGAAAUCCCCAGGCUUAACCUGGGAACUGCAUCCGAUACUGGAUGGCUUGAAUCCGGGAGAGGGAUGCAGAAUUCCAGGUGUAGCGGUGAAAUGCGUAGAUAUCUGGAGGAACACCAAUGGCGAAGGCAGAUCUCUGGGCCGUAACUGACGCUGAGGAGCGAAAGCAUGGGGAGCGAACAGG